UUCUUUACAUCUCUCAUCUACAUAAAUAACCAUACGCAUACGUAUUCGAGUAUUGUUUGUCGAAUUGCAUGAUAUUCGAACAUGCGAAGUUGAACCUUGUACAUAGAUAUUUGUAGUUCGCGAAUAAUUAGUAUUGAUAGUGCAGUAUCCGAAAGAAAUUACUCCAGUGUUCUUACAAUUUCAUUUUAUACCGCGUCAACACCUGUUUUCUUAUUCAUAAUCAUAACAGCGAACAUGGAUAACUGGUCAGUUAUACGAUUUGUGGUAGUAGCGCUGCUCUUGCUUAGCGUUGGUGCAUAUUUGGAAACUGUGGCAGGUGCUCCUUCUAAUUUAUACGCAGCCAACAACGUUAUUAGUCCACCAACAAGGACUUAUGCCACAGCAUGGAAGUCCCUUGGAAGCUAAACUUCGGAUGAUAGCGAUAACUUUAACUGGAAAUACCAAGAUUUAAACAUGUUGUAGUGCAUUGUCUACAUAUGUCGUGUAAGAGUAGAGUAGCGGAUCGCACAUAACCCCAGCUAACCAUAUACUGUAAAUCUUUUGCGUACAAUACAGAUCAUAUGAAACAA